rnacentral:rRNA from 1 species
GCUGUAGGUGAACCUGCAGCGGGAUCAUUACCGGGAGCGCGUCCGGACGGGGAGAGAUCCCCUCUGGGCCUCGGGGCGAACGCCCUGAACUCUCACCUUGUGUUGUCCAUCCGACGUUGCUUUGGCGGCUCGAUCCCCCCGUCGCCGGGGGGGCGCCCCGCCAAAGGGCCCGAAUUCAACCCUGUUAGUGAGUGAUGUCGGAGGGACACGAAAUCGCAUAAAACUUUCAACAACGGAUCUCUUGGUUCCGGCAUCGAUGAAGAACGCAGCGAAAUGCGAUAAGUAAUGCGAAUUGCAGAAUUCAGUGAAUCAUCGAAUCUUUGAACGCACAUUGCGCCCCCUGGCACUCCGGGGGGCAUGCCCGUUCGAGCGUCAUUGACCCUCUCGAGCCCCUGGCUUGGUGUUGGGCCAUGUCCUUCCCCUCGGGGGGGACAGGCCCGAAGAUCAGUGGCGGCCCCGGGACGGCCCUCGGCGCGAUUGUAACGCUUCGCCCAGGGCUCUGUUCCGGGUGCCUGCCAGGCAACGGUCCCUCGGGACGCACACGGUUGACCUCGAAUCGGGUAGGGAUACCCGCUGAACUUAAG